AGAUUGCUCUAUCAGAGUGAGGUAGUAGAUUGUAUAGUUGUGGGGUAGUGAUUUUACCCUGUUCAGGAGAUAACUAUACAAUCUAUUGCCUUCCCUGAGGAGUAGAC
ensembl:miRNA